rnacentral:rRNA from 1 species
AGGGCACCACCAGGAGUGGAGCCUGCGGCUUAAUUUGACUCAACACGGGAAAACUCACCCGGCCCGGACACCGUCAGGAUUGACAGACUGAGAGCUCUUUCUUAAUUCGGUGGGUGGUGGUGCAUGGCCGUUCUUAGUUGGUGGAGCGAUUUGUCUGGUUAAUUCCGAUAACGAACGAGACUCUGGCCUAUUAAAUAGACGAAAUAUUAAAAAGUAUUUCGCACUUCUUAGAGGGACAAGCGGCGUCUAGUCGCAUGAAAAAGAGCAAUAACAGGUCUGUGAUGCCCUUAGAUGUCCGGGGCUGCACGCGCGCUACACUGAAAGAAUCAGUGUGCGUUUUACCUAGUUCGGAAGAACCGGGUAACCCAAGUAAAUUCUUUCGUGCUUGGGAUAGGGAAUUGCAAUUAUUUCCCUUAAACGAGGAAUUCCCAGUAAAUGCGGGUCAUAAGCUUGCGCUGAUUACGUCCCUGCCCUUUGUACACACCGCCCGUCGCUACUACCGAUUGGAAGUAGAGGAGA